rnacentral:snRNA from 1 species
UUUCUUAACAAACUGUUCAA